rnacentral:rRNA from 1 species
UCUACGGGAGGCAGCAGUGAGGAAUAUUGGUCAAUGGUCGGGAGACUGAACCAGCCAAGCCGCGUGAGGGAUGAAGGUACAGAGUAUCGUAAACCUCUUUUGUCAGGGAACAAAGGCGGGGAUGUGUCCCCGGAUGAGUGUACCUGACGAACAAGCAUCGGCUAACUCCGUGCCAGCAGCCGCGGUAAUACGGGGGAUGCGAGCGUUAUCCGGUUUUGUUGGGGUUAACGGGUGCGCGGGCGGUCUGUUAAGUCAGCGGUCAAAGCCCGGGGAGAAACCCGGGCCCGCAGUUGAAACUGGCAGGCGCGAGUUGGAGAGAAGUAGGCGGAAUGCGCGGUGUAGCGGUGAAAGGCAUAGAUAUCGCGCAGAACUCCGAUUGCGAAGGCAGCAUGCCGGCUCCAAACUGACGCUGAGGCACGAAAGCGUGGGUAUCGAACAGGAUUAGAUACCCCAGUAGUC